UGAGGGAUAUUGGUCAAUGGGCGCAAGCCUGAACCAGCGACGCCGCGUGGGUGAAGAAGGUCUUCGGAUCGUAAAGCCCUUUUCCCACUGAAGAGGAAGGACGGUAGGUGGGGAAGAAGUCUCGGCUAACUACGUGCCAGCAGCCGCGGUAAAACGUAGGAGACAAGCGUUAUCCGGAGUUACUGGGCGUAAAGGGCGUGCAGGUGGCGUCUUAAGUCUGUUGUGAAAGCGCCUGGCUUAACCGGGCGAGGCCAAUGGAGACUGAGAGGCUUGAGGACGGCGGAGGGGGGUGGAAUUCCGGGUGUAGUGGUGAAAUGCGUAGAGAUCCGGAGGAACACCAGAGGCGAAGGCGGCACUCUAAGCCGUACCUGACACUGAGACGCGACAGCACGGGGAGCAAACG
rnacentral:rRNA from 1 species